AUACGUAGGGUGCAAGCGUUGUUCGGAAUUACUGGGCGUAAAGCGCGCGUAGGUGGUCUGUUAUGUCAGAUGUGAAAGUCCACGGCUCAACCGUGAAAGUGCAUUUGAAACUGGCAGACUUGAGUACUGGAGGGGGUAGUGGAAUUCCCGGUGUAGAGGUGAAAUUCGUAGAUAUCGGGAGGAAUACCGGUGGCGAAGGCGACUACCUGGCCAGAUACUGACACUGAGGUGCGAAAGCGUGGGGAGCGAACAGGAUUAGAUACCCCAGUAGUCC
rnacentral:rRNA from 1 species